AAUGAACGCUGGCGGCGUGCUUUACACAUGCAAGUCGAGCGAGGCCACCCGCAAGGGUGAGUCGAGCGGCGAACGGGUGAGUAACGCGUGGAUUAUCUGCCCUGAGGUGGGGGAGUAACCCGGGAAACGUCGGGCUAAUACCGCAUAUGACCGUGAGGUCAAAGGGGACGUCGCAAGAGCUCUCGCCAUAGGAGGAGUCUGCGUUCGAUUAGCUAGUUGGUAGGGUAA
rnacentral:rRNA from 1 species